rnacentral:rRNA from 1 species
GACGAACCGUGCGAACGUUAUUCGGAAUCACUGGGCUUAAAGCGCGUGUAGGCGGGAGGGCACGUCCGUCGCUGAAAUCCCCCGGCUCAACCGGGGAACGGGCGCGGAUACGACCUUCCGUGGAGGGGCGUGAGGGGGACCUGGAACUUCCGGUGGAGCGGUGAAAUGCGUUGAGAUCGGAAGGAACGCCCGUGGCGAAAGCGAGGUCCUGGACGCCUACUGACGCUGAGA